AGGAGGGGGCUGCGGCGGCGGCGGCAGGCGGGGUGCCCGCGGCUCGGCUCAGCUCGGCGGACAGCUCCCACCAUGGACGCCUAGGAAAAAACGAGGCGUUGGAGGGAGGAAAAACUUGGUCCUAUUUUAAUAGCCUCAGUGAAGUCUUUAAACGUGGAAAAGGGCUGCUCGCCGGGAAUUUUACCUGUGCCGAAGUCUCUGUAGGAUCGGGGCCUUGGAAAAGGUGAUAUUUUAUCAGCUGUUGUUUGCAUCCGUCAAAGUUUGUGGGUAGCUUGAUAAAUGUUAAACAGGGAAGCAGAAAGUGCUGGUGAGGCCAGACUCGGAGAUAACGGCACAUUCAAUAGCUUAAUUUCACAAUUAGUUUACUGUAUUAUUGGAAGCAAAUCAUAUUUCACUGUGCCUACACUAGUGCUCUAUUUUUAGCUAUAAUGUAGCUAAAAAGGAGGAACCUACUGAGAUAUAUUAUAACAUUGAAUGUGAACAAUUCUGUUCUCUCUCUCUUUACUCAUUUCAUGUCAUGCAUCUGGUUUAGAAUACAGCUCAUUUAUUAAUUGAACAGAGCUACUGUGGACGGAUUGGAGGCUGCAAUUCCAAGGCAGAGAAAAGUUCCACACAACUCUGUGAGGAACCUGGCAAAUCACAGCCACGAAAAAAGCACCUAUGCACAUAAGCUGCUCUAUUAAUAACUGAUGUAGACAGAACAACUAUUUUUUUGUUAGUUUAUAGUAUCAGUGUACUUGGUUUUGGUUGCACUUCUUUUGUUUUAGUCUUCCUGAUUUUUUUUUUUCUUCAGGGCAAAGGUGUAAGUGAAAAAGACAUCUGAAAUGCUUGGAGGUAGCCUCAGUCUUUGUGUUGCAUCACCUUUUUUAUUAUAUUUUUGGGGACAAAAAGAAGAGAGAAAAUAAAAUUGAGAGAAUAUACCGUUCUUCUGUCUUAAUACCAGUCGUCUGAUCCCCUCCAUUCCCCUUGUGUUACAGACAGCGAUGGCUGCUGGAAGAAUAAGGCACCUUUCGUGGUACAUGCAAGAUGCUCACAGAUUUUCCACAAAUUCAGUAGAAACCUCAUUUGUUUUCUGCUUGUGGUUCACAGGAGCACUUAGCUUUUUAGUGGUUGACACCAUAUCUAUUUUUAGCAGGAUUUUAACAGCUGUCACUAACAACUAAGAUCUCAUCUUGAACAGGGAGGAGAGUUUAUCUGUUUUAUUUAAAAAAAAAAAUCAAACUACAUAAUUGUCAGAUUAUAAAAUGCAAUUUGGAUCUUUAUCUGUGAAGAGAAAAGGCUAUCUUUUCUCAUUAUACCAAUUCCAUGGGGGGAAAAAGGAUCUGUAGUGGGCUUGAUAAAGUAACUAAAGGGCUUUGCAAGGUUUGGAAAUAAUGUUAUUCAAAGGCAUACAAUGUAUUUAUAGCACAUUUCUGAUUCGGUUAAAAGUGGUCCUGUUUUACUGCCUUCUGCAGCUGUGUUGCGAUGGGGGAAGCCGCAAAGAGUCGAGUCAUAGUUUUCCAAGUAGGUCAAGAGGAGCAGCAUGGACACCUCCAACAAGCGAUUCUCUUCCCUCUCGUUAGAUUUUAUAAGAGGUUAACUCAUGUCAGACACAUGACACUGAAAGCAGCAGACAGACAAGUGUAAGCCACUCUGUAGCAGAUGUCAUCUCUGUUCCUGAAGAUAGUGGUAAAUUUGCUAUGGAUAAUGCAUUACAAAACAAGAUAACGCUGAAACUCAGCAAGUGUCAAAUUUUACCUCCUCCCAUGCUUGGUAAAGUGAGUGAAUUGGUGUUAGGGGCUGCAGGAGCAGCAGUGGAGUGUAAAAGCAGCAUACUGUACUAUCUUACUUAGAGGUCAUGUGCCCUAUUUUGAGAACUGAACCAAAGCGGAUGAAGUUUUGAGUUGGUUCCAACUAAGGCAGCUGGGCAUUUCCCACUUCUCUCCAGCUCCAGCCCAGGAAUGCAGGCAAUCACAUGGUCACACAUAUUAUUCCCUUACCUGACAUUAUUCACCGGAGAUUUAAUUUUUAUGCCGUUUAGCUCAUGUAGUUUUGAUUAUUUGAGAUUUACGGCUGAUCAGGAGUAGUUGCAUUUUGGGAAGACGCUGGAAAAACGUUGGGGAUGACAGAUGAGAGUUUACUUUCCCUGACUAACAGAUGUGAGUCUUCUGAGAGAGGAGUCCACAGUUUUCUCCAACUCACCAGCUAAUUGUGUUAAAGCUAAUUUCUCAAGCCAUGAUGAAAGUCUUUAGAGUUCUUUACAAGACAAACUGUAAGUAAGCAUGUUUUCUGUAUGGUAUGCUUAUGUUCUCUGAGAUAUAAAUAUUUUAUUUAUCUAGUCAAAUGUUGAACAAUUUUGUUUUCUAAUUAUAGAUAAAUCUUUUAGCUGAGCAAGAGAACAUGUUCCCUUUUAACCUGUAUUCUGUAUUCUUUAUUUUCUACCUUUUGUCUUUCUUUUUUUUUUUUUUAAUGCUCUUUAAUGGCCCUGUUAUAACUGUGGUUGAACCACAUCUAAGUAUAGUACAAUUGCAUUUCUAAUACACAUUUGCAUUAGCAACCACUUGCUUGUGUAAAGGGCCAAAACAUGCAUUUAAAAACACAUAUUUCCAAUACAUUUAAAAAAUCACAGUUUUUAUUGACUAUUAGCACCGAUAGUUUCAUCCACUUCAAAAUGAAAUCAUCUCACAAAGAAUUACUUGUUGUGGGUAAUAGGUCUUGUAGACAAUGAUAGGGCAAACAAAGCGUAAGGAAUAACACAUAGACAGUACUUUGUAUUUUUGUGGCUUUAAUGUGGCUGUAUAUGUUUACAUUGUUUGUCCUCAACUCCUCUCUUGUUUGCUACUUGCACUGUUACUUGUAAGAAAAUGCGAUUUGUAAAAAAAUUAUCUUUGCCACAGAAUGCAGCCUUAUCUUGAUAUUAAUGAAUUCAAAGCAGUGAAAGGUAGUGGCAGCUAAUUGCAUCUUAAUAUUUAUCUGCUACCUACUGGCAUUUUUACAGUAUCAAAUGGUAACUCAUGCUGUAAUCUGAUAAAAAUUUUGUAGUUACCGUAAUAGUACUGCACCUAUGCCAAAAAUCCAGACGUAGUGUUUAACAGCAGUAAAAAUAAGAGUGCAAAUAGCACCCUCCAGCACUUAAUAAACAUAUCAAAUGCAAAUUGGAGAAAAUUAUUUAAUCACUCUAUAGGCUAGUUAAUUUUGAUGAUUAUUCACAGUUCUAGUAGCAAUACUUUAGUGUGGAAUAAGUUAAUACCAAAAUUGUCAUGACACCAAGGUCACAAGCAGAAUUCAAAACUUGCUGCAUAGAGAAAAUUAUCUUCCUGAUUGAAUGAAGGUGCAGCUUUAAAGCUCCUACAGCAAAAGGAGAAUUUUUAUGUAAUUUUCCAGAUUAUUCUAUAAUCCUAAAAUUGUCUGCUCUCGGAUAUUAUGCAAUGAGAGAUGGUUUGGUAAUAACCUGCAAGAUCAUGUUCAUAUUGAGACUUGAAAGACCUUUGUUUUCUGGCUUUUUAAAAAAUGUUUAUUUCCGGGAGAAGAGAGAUUUUGGCUGGGCUCUCCCUGAAGUGUACAGUGAAGAACCUACCAAAGAGAGCAUUGCUAUGAAGCUGAAUUAAGAGAAUGUGCAAGAAAAGUGUUAAUUUAACAUGUGCCAAGACAGAAAAGGAAAAAAAAUCUAUUGAUUUUGGUGGAAGUUGCAGUACUUAAAUAGAUUUAUUUUGUUGAUUUUCUUUGUAUAUUUAAUGCUCACUUCCUGUGUAGGCUAUGGUCCCACUCAAGGAGUUCAUUCAUGUGUCACCUGGGCCUAAGCUGGACAGUUAAUCUUAUACAACAUGGAGAGCUGGUCCUUGUCAGGUGCAUGUUGAUUUAUACAGAUUUGUCACAAGGAACCGUAAGUCAGCAUUCUGAGGAAGUGUCCUGGCUUUGAAGAUAAAGGUCACACUAGAGUUUGUCUGGCCCAGACUAAAUAUCUGGUAAUGAAAGGUCACGUAUUCCAUUGUUUUCCCGCUGAACUCACCAAUACUUGGCCCACAAGCCAGGAGUGACAGAAAUUUUGGCACAUUGAAUGGGUUUGUCCCUAAUGAACCCAAACAUAUGUAAAUACGCAGACUGAUUCAUAGGUGAAAGUUGAUAACCUCACCAACCCAGUUGCCUGGCUAUGGUUUAUUCUCUUUUGGUUUAAGUGACAAUCGCUCAGCUUGGUUUCCAAAAACGGUGCUGUCUCUAUCAGUGCUUGUACAAUCCUGGCACCUACAGCAUCCAAGUACCACACAGAUGUAUUUCUUCUGAGCUCUGGAAAGAAGAGAAGCAUUAUCACCAUUUUAUAGACAGGGAGUGGAGAAAUAAAGAGAUUGCAGGAUUUAUGUCAGGUCCCCUAAGAAGGCUACAAAGUGCAAAGCUCAGUACUUCCCAAAUCACAGGUCACUCACUGCCUUUCAUUGCGGGGCCAGAUUUCCUUUUCAGCCACUGCCUUCCCAAAAUUGCUGCAUGAGCAUGAGUGACAUAAAGUUAAAACACAUUUGAUUGUUGUCUGGGGAAGGAAAAUGCACCAUGGUCUGUUUGAAUGUAUUCAUUAUUGAAAUGAGUUUAGAAAACCCAUACUAUCAGGGCUUUUAUUGUAUGGAUUAGCAGCAGCUGCUAAAGAUUCACUUUACCUUGCCUGCUCGAACCUGGUCAGAAGAGUCACUUCCAUGAAUGUGCAAGAAUUUCUGGCACGCAUUCUUGUACAUGCACAUUUACAUUUUGGCUUCUAUGCAUGCUGUUCAUGCACUCACCACUUUGAACUGUGCUUUUCGUGAGUAAUUCCGACAACAAAAUUCGCUCCUUUGUAUAUACAGGGAAAGCAAAUGCAUAAGAGGCCAAAUGAAAGUAAUUUCAUAUGUUUUUUCUUUAUUUAUUCAUUUUGCAUUCCAUUCUUAGCUAUGGUUAGACAGUCACAGAGUAGAAAGUAUGUACCCCUCUCAGGAUUUCUAAAGGAAGAUCAACCAGGACUCAGAGGAAAUCUUGCUUGUUUGAGAGUCAAAGUUGGUUCAGGGCAAGACUGAUAGAGGGUUUAGCAAACAAGAAUUUCUUCUGGCGUGGUUCAGUUAUGUCCUCUAUGCAUGACUUAAAAUUGACAACAUGAGCCUAUCAGAAAUCUUUCAUGUUCAACAGCUGCAUGGAAGACAUGACUGCUUCUAAAUGUAAGAGCAGGUACUGAUCUUUUCAAUCUGGUUCCUUUGGUUCUGUUCCAGGGAGAAGACACUGUCACUGUGAUGCUGGCCCUGCGGAGGCGCUUCACUUUUCAAGUCCUAACCUUUAUGCUUUUCUGUAAAAGGAAUGCAUAAGAACAGUGAAAGGAGACACAGGAUUGUUAAGGAAGUAGGGAUGCUCAGCUGAAUUCACAGUGUUUAUAUUAGUUUUAUAUACUUGCAACAAUAGUGAUUGUAACAAGAUUUACACUGUCAGGAGAGAAAGAAUUAGACCUUCUUUUACUGGGGAUCAUAAACAAAUGGAUAAAUAAAGUAGGCAGUACACUGUG